AAAGUUGAAAAGUACUUUGAAGAGAGAGUAAACAGUGCGUGAAACCGGUCAGAGGUAAACGGGUGGAGUUGAACUGCAAGCUCUGAGAAUUCAACUGAUGAGUGUGUCUUGAGCUUGAGAUGUUGGGCCCCGGAGUCUGCGUAGCAGCAGGCCUUCACCCUUCGGGGUGAGGGUGCGCGGUGCACUUAUCAAGUGUUGCGCGCUCUGGGAGUUCAUCAAACCACUUGUCAGUGCACUUUUUCAGAGUAGUCACCACGACCGGCACCGCUGUCUGGCUGUUAUGGUUAAACCGUUCUAGUAUUGUCCACGUGACUCUGCUUGAUCGGGAUGGCAGGUAACUCAUGACUUGCUUCCAGUUAGGUCAUUGAGUGUAAUCAGCUGACCAUAUCAGUUCUGUACAGUGUGUCGGAGACGGCGGCUUUUGUGUGUGCUUGCGUGCCUGUCUGGCUGACGUAUUCGAGUUUGGUUAUCAAGUUGUCUGUUUACACAGUCCUGGCAAUGACUCGAGUUCGUUCGGUUGGCGGUUGCGUAGGUGACACAGCUCAUGGGCCAAUAGUCUGUGGUGUAGUGGUAGACUAUCCACCUGACCCGUCUUG
rnacentral:rRNA from 1 species